UUUAUUUUACUUUACUAUUUUAUUUUAUUUUGUCAUUUAUCAAGCUUAAUCGGAAGAAAAAAACAGCAUGUUAUGGAAUCCUAUGUGCACCUCCUUUGCAAAAUAAGGAAAAAGUGAAGCCCAAGAACAAGAAAUAAGGCCGGCCCAAACACCAAAUCCGGCAUCAUGGCGGGGGCCAUGGGGUCUGAAUAUUUAACGGGACAGAAUCCCAAAAUUCACCAUUUUUUCCUUUUUCAACCUCUUAAAAUCCAUUUUUCCUCCUUCCAACUCCAUUGAAG
rnacentral:lncRNA from 1 species